GACGAACGCUGGCGGCGUGCUUAACACAUGCAAGUCGAACGGAAAGGCCCUGCCUUUGUGGGGUGCUCGAGUGGCGAACGGGUGAGUAACACGUGAGUAACCUGCCCUUGACUUUGGGAUAACCGCAGGAAACUGGGGCUAAUACCGGAUAGGAGCUCCUGCUGCAUGGUGGGGGUUGGAAAGUUUCGGCGGUUGGGGAUGGACUCGCGGCUUAUCAGCUUGUUGGUGGGGUAGUGGCUUACCAAGGCUUUGACGGGUAGCCGGCCUGAGAGGGUGACCGGCCACAUUGGGACUGAGAUACGGCCCAGACUCCUACGGGAGGCAGCAGUGGGGAAUAUUGCACAAUGGGCGGAAGCCUGAUGCAGCAACGCCGCGUGCGGGAUGACGGCCUUCGGGUUGUAAACCGCUUUCGCCUGUGACGAAGCGUGAGUGACGGUAAUGGGUAAAGAAGCACCGGCUAACUACGUG
rnacentral:rRNA from 1 species